AAAAAUAAAUAACCGAUUGAGCAUUAGAAUCAAAGUUUUGCCUAUGAAAAAGUAUCAAUGGUUAUGUUAUACAUGUAUGCAAAGUUAUCGUUUAUGGAUACAUGAUAUUUCUAAUUUAAUAUUGCAUUAUUUUGGAUCGAAUAAAGGUCUUAAUAUGUUGGUUUCUUCCGCAUUAUCACCGACCUUAGUAUAAAUCCGUGGCAUUAUUAAUGCUAAAUGCUUUAUUACACCAACGGUAUCUAGGCAUAUCUUAUAAAUUGUUUUGUACAUUUAUGUCAUAUACUGUCUUGCCAUAUUAUAAUGCAUUGUAUAUCCUCAUGGGCUAUAUAGCCUUAUGGAAUAUUCAAAAUAAACUUAUCAAACUUAAAACUUAUCAAACUUAUCAUAUCACGCGUUUUCAAAACAGCCAAUGAGUUUAAAGCGUUGGUUUUGUAUCACGUGAAUCCUAUCAACCAAUCAGAAAUAGCGCGGGCGAAAUGAAAAAAAGAAAAAACGGGAUUGGAAAUGGAUAGCAAAUAAAAUUCAGAAUAUUGCAAAACAAGGACAGUUAAAUCUUCUAGAAAUGCAGCUGUGCCAUCUUUACAGCAAUUGUAGAUGAAGCAAAGUAUGGUAGCAAGUUAUAUAGAUAUACACACAUGCCGAAGAAGAUUGUAAUAUCUGGAGAUAACAUUUCCUACGUCACGAAAUAGACAACGUCACACUGGUCUACGUAACAUUCCUAUUGAUGAUUGAUAUAUUUAAGUGCUUUUAAGAACUGUGUUUGAAUGACGAAUUUCUGUGAAUACGGAUUUUUAAUUUUAAUGAUUAUUAUUUAAACUUUCUGUAAUAAUCAAUUUGUGCUAUGGACUCAUUUUCCUAAAAUAAUAUGUAAAUGUUAACACGAACAAAUGAUAUGAAUAUCUUCAAAAUAUUUUAUGGGUGUAAUACAAGUGGCUCAUAAAAAUCAUUGUUAAGAUAAAUAGAAUCGAACUUCAAGUUGGUAUAGUUUGUUCUAGAUUUAAACAACAUGCAAUUCAUACGGCUUGAAAAUGUCGAAACAUGUAUGAAAAUAUCGAAACAUGUACAUGUAUAACUCGAUCUCUAAAGAAAAUAUCGCAGUGCGGAUUUUCUCCACUGUGAUACGUAUUUCAUGACUCUGUAUCGCAUCAUACCGGUAUAUAGCCGUUCCGUUGCAACGCUACAUGAAUUUGUGCCUCCGAAAUAAGGCUUGCAACAAUAUAAUUAUGACUGUUGUAGCGAAGACAUGUUUAUUUUGUUUAAUAUAUGUAUACAUAUUGAAUAUAUGUUUAUGAAAUAAUAAAUAUUUAAGAGUGAUUCGAUUUGGUUUUAACUUUAUUAUUUGAAAUACUCCAUUUGUGAAGAUAAAGUUCUUAAGCAUAUGACUUUACAGUUCCCAUUCAAAAUGUGUAAUAAAACAUGUUCUGUUGUACAAGUCUGAAUUUCGGUCAUGUAUACGUGUCACUUAUAUGUAAAUGCAUGCUUUUGAUAUUAUCUGCAUCUUCUUUUAUCAAGAAAAUACAGUUCCAACUUCUGUAUUCCCUGUGGACAACUAAAAAAUGCAAUUCCGUAUAUCCCCUGUAUAUAUUGAAAAUACAAUUCCGUA